rnacentral:lncRNA from 1 species
AAUGUUUAGUGGCCAUGGUAAACUGCUGUAUAUCAUAAUGUCAUGCAAGAGGCAACCUGCAGAUUAGCGGUGUCACGAAACAUUACUGUUGGAACUUAUAGCCCAGUACUGUCAACAAAUCCAGGGCAGGGGGAGGACGAUGAUGCCUGAGCCUUCCUCUGCAGCUAUCUGAAGAGCUCUUCUCUGCUCUCUGAGUCCUCUGAGUAUGAAGGGUCAACACAAAGUGGAGAGUGAGCUGGAGUGGGUAAGAGGAGGGUUAUUCUGACUCAGGUGUGUUCAUGGUCUUUUCAGACUCGACCCCAGAAAGCCUGUGAGGGGAGCAAAACACAGCACAGGAGGAAAGACAGAUGGGCUGUAAGGUCAGGUAAGGUGGACACAGUGUCCACAGCUGGGACCCCAGACAGCACUGGGGACCCUGGGGCCCAGCAGAAGGGACAGCUGGACACACGACCUUACAGCCAGGGAGAGGAGGUCUCCUGUGUGGUCCAGACUGAGCUCCCCCAACACAGUAGCAGGAGUGCUGACAGGGCGCCCCCAGGUGGUGAGCAGCAGCACACUGAGAAGAUGAGGAGCUCAGGUCUAGGAGGGGGCAGAGACCAGCAGCCCUCUUCCUCACUGGACAGCUCCAGUGUCGCGUGCUGCUCUCCAGGACAGCGCCUCCUCUCAGCGUCAGAGCGGCCUUCAGAGAGACCACCCAGCUCCUGGGGUAGUGAACCGCCCAUUCAGACAGUUCUAGGAGCGGAUUCACACACUCAUCACAAGAAGCCAUGACCAGCGUUGCUUCUCUCCUGAGUGCCUUGAUUUUUAUAAGUGAGCUUACUUCCACCAGCAAGCAAUGGCCGAUAAAAGUAAUAACAUCUCUGUUGCUUUACUUUACUUUUCCAGAACUGCAACGAGGGACAUUUAUUGAAGAAUAUAUUCAGAAAUCUAGCUUGAUUGACUGACAUCUUCUUUCUGAUCUAGCUAGGAUCACAUUUUGUAAUAUCCACUAUUCAAAACCGACAAUAUUUCAAACUGUGAGAAUCAUACUUUAAUAAUAUG